UUUUUAUGGAGAGUUUGAUCCUGGCUCAGGAUGAACGCUGGCGGCGUGCCUAAUACAUGCAAGUCGAGCGAACAGACGAGGAGCUUGCUCCUCUGACGUUAGCGGCGGACGGGUGAGUAACACGUGGAUAACCUACCUAUAAGACUGGGAUAACUUCGGGAAACCGGAGCUAAUACCGGAUAAUAUAUUAAACCGCAUGGUUCAAUAGUGAAAGAC
rnacentral:rRNA from 1 species